rnacentral:lncRNA from 1 species
ACAGUACCUGUCAGAGAGGUGCUUGGUGUAACGGAGGCCACUGGUAUCUGAGGCAUGGAGGCAGAGGAGAAGGAGGAGUAGGAGGAGGACGUGCAGGAGGUGAUGGGAGAAGAGGUGACAGGAGGGCUCUUCUCUACCAGGUUUGGGUCCGCUGUUCCCCCUGCGGUUCUGCCUCUCCACCGGACGCUGACUGGAGAAACUCCUCCUGGCCCAGGCAGGCCCCGCUGCUUCGCGUUUGGGCGUCAUCCCUCCCUCAGUGGGGGUCCUACUGGGGGGUGCUGAGCCUUGAGGGGGUAGGGGGGCUGGGGCUGAGGGCUGGGCAGCUGUGUUAGCAGCCUCCAGCGCUCCCCUCCUCUCCUCUCGUUCUCUCCGUUCGUUAAAGUCACUGCUCUCUGACGCAGUCUCCCACUCCUCGUUGGCCUGGUCAGAAGAGUUCUGGUUGGAAAAGUCAGGUGACUUGGUGCCCAUGGCAGAGGUGGUGGGAGGGGUGGCAUCAGGCAGGGCUGGGUCAGAGGUCAGGUGCAGGUCAGCGGCUGUGGGACCCCCUCUACAGGCAUGGUGACAGGGGUCCCUGAAGCUCUGGAGAGGGUAGGGGACAGGGAGACAGGGCCAGGCCCAGAGGCACGCACUAAGGCUGGGAGGGAGGCAGUGGAGGUGGAUCCAGGUCCCGUCUCUCCUCCAGCUAAUACUGCAGCCUCUCUCUCCUUCAGCCUCCGGAAGCGGGGGGGUUUGUCCUGUCUGGGGGGUCGGGCUGGGCGAGGACGACGGGGCCUCUCUCUGUCUCUGCUACUCUGGGGUCCCCCCUCCCCAAACUUCUUCACCUCGAAAGGACGGUCUCUGUCCCCUCGUACAGGCCGUCGGUCAGAGUGGGUGUCCCGGUUGUCGUAGCGUGAUGAGGGUUCUGUGUCCUCAGGGCGGAAGGUCUCCAUGGGUUUAGAGGGCCACUGGGAGGACAACUCUCUGGUUCCUGGACGUCUGAGAGGAGCUGACCUAGGACCUCCUCUCUCCCUGGCUCCCCCUCGCCUGCUGUACAGGCCCCCUCUCCCCCGCCGUGACGGCUCUCCUUUGGGCAGGAAGCCUGGCUUGGGCCUACCCUCCUCGUCUCCUCCCCUGAGCCCUCCUUUCUCUCCCAGGUGAGGGGGUCCAAAGCCAGGUUUGUGUGGUCCGGAGCGGGGCUCUCCUGGUAGUUCCCUGCGGAGCGGCCGGGGUGGUUUAGCGCUGGGCUCACGGUCUGAAGCCCCCGUGUCGCUAGCGGACUCCCGUCCUCCUUCGCUCUCCGAUUCGGUAUUGGAGCCACGGCGCCUCCUGCGUUUGGGCAUCACCUCGAAGUCAGAGCUCUCGCUGCGCGUCUCGCUCUCUUCGCGGCAGCAGCGGAAGGCAAUGCCGCCACCGGCGGCUGGGAGGUCUGAGCGCGAGCGCGGCUCCCGGUAUGAGUACUCCCCUCGACUACGACCCCGGCCACCUCUAUUUCGACCACUGUAAGUCCCCCGGAAACUCCGUCCUCGCGAGUAGUACUCCCCUCUGCCUCUGGCUCGAAAACCAUCAGCCGGCCAGUCUCUCUCUCUGUCCCGCUCCAUCUCUCUUUCCCGAUCCCUUUCCCUUUCUCGCUCUCUCUCCCUCUCCCUCUCCUCACGGCGGUAGGCCCUUGGAGGUAGGUUGGACUCCUUCCGACAGGAUAGUUUAGGUUCAGGGUGUUUGUCAUUGGUCGUUGGUUUGUCUGUCUUGUUGUCCUGGGAGGCUGGUGUCUGUGCUCCUGACAGGGCCUGUGUGUCUCUGGAUCUCUGGGGGCCAUUCACAGACCCCUCCUCAGUCUCAGGGGCCUCCCUCUUCCCAUCCCUCUCCCUGUCCCUCUCUCUUUCUCCCUGGGGCCUGUCCCUGGGGCCCCCAGACACAGCAGCAGCUGCGAAGGCAGCUUUCGCUCCUCCUCGCUCCUCCUUCUUGGGUCUCUCCCCUCUCUCUCUGUGUCGCUCUCUCUCCUCCCGCUGCUCUCUCUCUUCCUUCAUGUCUCGGAGUACAGGUUUCUUAAUGGGUCCAGACCUGCGUACAGGCCUCUCACCCCCUGGCCCUUCCCUCCGGCCGGCCACUGACCUCCCUCCCAAACGCAACUCAGCCUUCUGCUUGCUAGGAGCUGACAAGGGAAGCUUCUCUGGCUUGUGGAGGCUGUCGGAUGGAGGGGUGGGCCUGUUGUUGGCCACAGCAGUCUGGGAGAAAGGCUCUUUCCUAGGCUUCAGUUCGUCUGGGCCUGGCCUCUCCCCUGCAUCCUGGAGCUCAAGUGUCUUUGUGCCCAGGGGGAGGCUGUCGAACCUAGGCUCGUCCAGUUUGAGUGAGUGGCUGGAGCCCUUGGGAGAUGGUCCUCUGUAGCAUGGCCUGUCCCAGAGCCUCAACCUCCUCUCCAGUGGGCAGGCCAGGCUCCUCUGGCUCAAAGGGGGACACACCAGGCCCUCUCUCUGUCUGCAGGGAUCCUAGAGCCUCCUCGGGGCCCGGGCCAAACCCUGACAGGGGCUCUGUGGGGUUUCUGAAGAAGUCAGUCUUGCUGCGGGGCUCAAGAGGACUGAUAUCCUGGCUGGGGUAAAUAACUGGUGAACCCCGGUCCAGCUCCAACCCAGAGUCCAACCUG